rnacentral:lncRNA from 1 species
UUCCUGUUCUCCACUCUUCUCUAAAGGAAAUGCACUGCAAUGAAUUGCACAAUACAGACAUUCCUAAAUUCUGGAAAACCAGCAGGCUUUGAACUCUCCUGGGGGAAAAAAACCAUAAAACACAAAACUGCAAGGAAUGAGACUAUUUGGCCAAAUGGCCAAUAUGCUACAACUUUCAUAGGGAACUCACCGCACUUGGUAUUGCCUGAUGGAAAAAAAUGCCCUGAAUUUCCCGAUAAAAGAUUUGAGAUGUGGCAAAGGAAUAAAUAUUUUUUCCCUAAGAUAAAUCUAGCUGUAGGUGAAAACUGGGUCUCAUGCCUCGGACAAAAUAUUAUUUCCUUAUUUACUCUAAGUCUAUAUCAGAAUAUAGCCUACAUAGCAUCAGGUACUAAGCCAAAAAAGGCUCCAAGGGCACCAUUGUUCAUCCAUGACUUUGACUGUGUCACCCCCCAGAAACCUUGAGUUGGGCAAAUGAAAUCACAGUAGCCUUUGGUGGCUUCUUGAGCAGCUGCUAAGGAUCACAUGGAUUCUGCUCACACCCAGUGCUUCUCAUAAUUUAAAAAUGCUUGAAGCUGUGGGAGGCUGCCCGGCCCUCUGCAUUAUUCAAAAGAAAACCAGGAGGCAGCGACAAUUCUUGAUUCUUGCAGAUAAACAUUCUCCAACAACUAUUAAGAGUUGGAUUGCUCUACCUUCAUUUAAUUCCUUGGUGCUUUACUAUUUGAAUCUAGAAUAUUCUUGAAGUCUGAAAGAUGGAUAGAAAAGAGUCGUGUGUACAUCAUUGGGAAUGGAGGGAAAUAAAUGACUGGAUGGUCGCUGCUUUUUAAGUUUCAAAUUGACAUUCCAGACAAGCGGUGCCUGAGCCCGUGCCUGUCUUCAGAUCUUCACAGCACAGUUCCUGGGAAGGUGGAGCCACCAGCCUCUCCCUGAAUAACUGGGAGAUGAAACAGGAAGCUCUAUGACACACUUGAUCGAAUAUGACAGACACUGAAAAUCACGACUCAUCCCCCUCCAGCACCUCUACCUGUUGCCCGCCGAUCACAGCCGGAAUGCAGCUGAAAGAUUCCCUGGGGCCUGGUUCCAACUGCCCACUGUGGACUCUGAGGCCUCUGCAUUUGCGGGUGGUCUGCCUGUGAUAUUUUGGUCAUGGGCUGGUCUGGUCGGUUUCCCAUUUGUCUGGCCAGUCUCUGUGUGUCUUAAUCCCUUGUCCUUCAUUAAAAGCAAAAC